rnacentral:rRNA from 1 species
UACGGAGGGUGCAAGCGUUAAUCGGAAUUACUGGGCGUAAAGCGCGCGUAGGCGGCUUGUUAAGCCAGAUGUGAAAGCCCCGGGCUUAACCUGGGAACUGCAUUUGGAACUGGCAGGCUAGAGUACAGAAGAGGGUGGUAGAAUUUCCUGUGUAGCGGUGAAAUGCGUAGAUAUAGGAAGGAAUACCAGUGGCGAAGGCGGCCACCUGGUCUGAUACUGACGCUGAGGUGCGAAAGCGUGGGGAGCAAACAGGAUUAGAUACCCGGGUAGUCC